rnacentral:rRNA from 1 species
CUUUCCCUCUGUCGGCAUGCCUUACACAUGCAAGUCGAACGGUAACAGGUUAAGCUGCCGAGUGGCGAACGGGUGAGUAAUGUAUCGGAACGUGCCCAGUCGUGGGGGAUAACUGCUCGAAAGAGCAGCUAAUACCGCAUACGACCUGAGGGUGAAAGCGGGGGAUCGCAAGACCUCGCGCGAUUGGAGCGGCCGAUAUCAGAUUAGGUAGUUGGUGAGGUAAAGGCUCACCAAGCCGACGAUCUGUAGCUGGUCUGAGAGGACGACCAGCCACACUGGGACUGAGACACGGCCCAGACUCCUACGGGAGGCAGCAGUGGGGAAUUUUGGACAAAGGGCGCAAGCCUGAUCCAGCCAUGCCGCGUGCGGGAAGAAGGCCUUCGGGUUGUAAACCGCUUUUGUCAGGGAAGAAAAGGUUCUGGCUAAUACCUGGGACUCAUGACGGUACCUGAAGAAUAAGCACCGGCUAACUACGUG